CCUACGGGAGGCAGCACUGGGGAAUAUUGCGCAAUGAAGGAAGCUCUGACGCAGCGACGCCGCGUGAAGGAUGAAGCCCCUCUGGGUAGUAAACUUCUGUAGACAGGGAAGAAUUUCUCGCUCCGCGAGAUUGACGGUACCUCUAAAGUAAGGGUCGGCUAACUACGUG
rnacentral:rRNA from 1 species